UGUGAAGUCAGGUGGAUGCCCCACUGAGC
rnacentral:piRNA from 1 species